rnacentral:rRNA from 1 species
UACGUAGGGGGCUAGCGUUAUCCGGAAUUACUGGGCGUAAAGGGCGCGUAGGCGGCCUGGCAAGUGGAAGGUGAAAUCCCUCGGCUUAACCGAGGAACUGCCCUCCAAACUGCUUGGCUUGAGUCCGGGAGAGGUGAGUGGAAUUCCCGAGUGUAGCGGUGAAAUGCGUAGAUAUUGGGAGGAACACCAGUGGCGAAGGCGGCUCACUGGACCGGAACUGACGCUGAGGCGCGAAAGCGUGGGGAGCAAACGGGG